CGCACCAAUGACGCAUUCGGAGUUUGUUGACAGGUCGACAUC
rnacentral:rRNA from 1 species